rnacentral:rRNA from 1 species
CAGUAGCCGCGGGAAUACAGAGGGUGCGAGCGUUAAUCGGAUUUACUGGGCGUAAAGCGUGCGUAGGCGGCUUCUUAAGUCGGAUGUGAAAUCCCUGAGCUUAACUUAGGAAUUGCAUUCGAUACUGGGAAGCUAGAGUAUGGGAGAGGAUGGUAGAAUUCCAGGUGUAGCGGUGAAAUGCGUAGAGAUCUGGAGGAAUACCGAUGGCGAAGGCAGCCAUCUGGCCUAAUACUGACGCUGAGGUACGAAAGCAUUGGGAGCAAACAGGAUUAGAUACCCCCGUAGUCCCUGUCUCUUAUAC